CAAGUUCUUGCACAAGGUCAAACGUUUCUGGAGGAAAGGAGCCAAGAACCAUGACAGACAAUUGCUGAACAUCAAACUAAGGAGUGAACACUUCAUCAGAUCUGCUUGCCUUAACAACAAAAAUAGCCAAAAUGUUAAGACAGUCAAACUAGAUUGAUUGUUUUUGAUACAAUCUGUGAGUGGUUGACCCAAGAAUUCUCAAUCUAAUCACGCCUAUAAAUACAGAGACUGUAUCCACAGAUGCAAAAGCAGCCAGAGGACAAGUGAGAAAUUCGUCAGUCACCUGGAUGCCUCAUCUCUACAAUGGCACUGAACAGCAUGUGAAGAGACACCCGCAAGGGUCUGUGAGUGGCUUCUGGGCGCUGGGUCUCACAGGAAGCAUCUACUUUAAAAGCUGGGAAUGCUGAUCCUUUCAGUUUCUAUCAAGAAGACAAAGUCUGGCUUAUAAUAGAAAAACAGAUUCCCCCAAAUCAUUGUCUAGAGGUGUUGAAUCACACAUGAAUGUCAGCAAAUGAUGCCAACUAUGGAUCACUUUCCUGGGGACUUUAUCUGGUGUGAACCAAGAGAAUCCUACUUCAUGCAUUUUUUUAAACAUCCACAGAUAACUGUUGUGCUGUGUCAUAGACCAAAAGGGAAAUUACAUUUUUCUCAUAAUUGGAUUUGGUACUUGUAGGCUUUCCUGAAGACAAGGAAAAGGAAAUUUAUUUUAGAUUCUUAAAAAACCUUGAACUAAAAAAUUUCAAUCAGCAUAUCAGGUGCCUAUCUGAAUUCAACCACCACUGUGGCAGAGAUGGAUGACUUCGUGUACCGGUACAGGAGAAAAGGGUUCCUGAAGCUUCAUUCUUGUUUGUUUGUUUGGUUGGGCUUUUUCUUUUCAUUCUGAGUUCUAAAAAAGUUAUUACUUGAUAGCUUGGUGGCAAUGCAGUCUGUGUUGAGAAAAUAGGAAUUGAUUAAGAAGUGAGAGACUGUGAGAGACUGAAAAUGAGUAAGAAAAAAAAAAAGCCUACAAAGCAUUUACAGUGUAAUUUUCCAAUACAGAUUUGAGUAGAUACUGCAUGCACUUAGAAACAGAUGCAUUGUCAAGCCUUUAUUAUUGAACAAAGAAUAAUUUUUGAGUUUCCCCUUUUUAAAAAGAACCCAAGAAAAUACAAUGCUAAAAUCUAUAUAUUAGCACAGCAUUCAUUUGAAUGCCUAAUUGCUUGAGACUUGCAAGAUUCAGUCUCAACUGGUGGAGGUCCUGACAUAGCUAGCAUAUGGCUGGAUGCUAAGGAAGAAUGGUUGCAAUGAUCAUUUGUGGAAACAAAACAUUAAUCUAUAAAUAUCAAUUUGCUGGGCUAAUUACCAAGGAUGUUAACUUGAUGUAUUGAUUAUUACAAAAUAAAUCUGUGGAUACAUUUAAAUGU
rnacentral:lncRNA from 1 species